UUAAAUUGCAAUUCUCAUUUGCUCUUUCAGCUCGCACCUUCACGGAGUACAGCAAUGUGGGGAAGCAAGUCGAGGACAGCCUCUCUCGAUUUCUGUCCCGGGGGCGCUAUGCUCUUCCAGGACCAAGCAAGAAACACAGUGCAGAGAGGCAAGGAGGUAAAAUAAAGGGAGUAAAACAAAAGGAACAGGGACCGGUUUCCGUGAACAUAACAGCCGAGAAAACAUCUGAGCAAGGUUCUUCUGUGCAUAUUUUUGAAUGUGCUGCAAGAAUAUUUCUGGUUAUAUGCCCACUUAAUUUAUAAUGUUUUUCUUC